rnacentral:siRNA from 1 species
AAUCGUGACCGUGGUGGGAAGGAUU